GAUGAACGCUGGCGGCGUGCCUAAUACAUGCAAGUCGAGCGAACGGACGAGAAGCUUGCUUCUCUGAUGUUAGCGGCGGACGGGUGAGUAACACGUGGAUAACCUACCUAUAAGACUGGGAUAACUUCGGGAAACCGGAGCUAAUACAGGAUGAUAUUUUGAACCGCAUGGUUCAAAAGUGAAAGACGGUCUUGCUGUCACUAAUAGAUGGAUCCGCGCUGCAUUAGCUAGUUGGUAAGGUAACGGCUUACCAAGGCAACGAUGCAUAGCCGACCUGAGAGGGUGAUCGGCCACACUGGAACUGAGACACGGUCCAGACUCCUACGGGAGGCAGCAGUAGGGAAUCUUCCGCAAUGGGCGAAAGCCUGACGGAGCAACGCCGCGUGAGUGAUGAAGGUCUUCGGAUCGUAAAGCUCUGUUAUUAGGGAAGAACAUAUGUGUAAGUAACUGUGCACAUCUUGACGGUACCUAAUCAGAAAGCCACGGCUAACUACGUG
rnacentral:rRNA from 1 species